rnacentral:rRNA from 1 species
GAUUGACGCUGGCGGCAGGCCUAACACAUGCAAGUCGAACGGUAACAGGAAGCAGCUUGCUGCUUUGCUGACGAGUGGCGGACGGGUGAGUAAUGUCUGGGAAACUGCCUGAUGGAGGGGGAUAACUACUGGAAACGGUGGCUAAUACCGCAUAACGUCGCAAGACCAAAGAGGGGGACCUUCGGGCCUCUUGCCAUCAGAUGUGCCCAGAUGGGAUUAGCUUGUUGGUGAGGUAACGGCUCACCAAGGCGACGAUCCCUAGCUGGUCUGAGAGGAUGACCAGCCACACUGGAACUGAGACACGGUCCAGACUCCUACGGGAGGCAGCAGUGGGGAAUAUUGCACAAUGGGCGCAAGCCUGAUGCAGCCAUGCCGCGUGUAUGAAGAAGGCCUUCGGGUUGUAAAGUACUUUCAGCGGGGAGGAAGGUGUUGUGGUUAAUAACCGCAGCAAUUGACGUUACCCGCAGAAGAAGCACCGGCUAACUCCGUGCCAGCAGCCGCGGUAAUACGGAGGGUGCAAGCGUUAAUCGGAAUUACUGGGCGUAAAGCGCACGCAGGCGGUCUGUCAAGUCGGAUGUGAAAUCCCCGGGCUCAACCUGGGAACUGCAUUCGAAACUGGCAGGCUUGAGUCUUGUAGAGGGGGGUAGAAUUCCAGGUGUAGCGGUGAAAUGCGUAGAGAUCUGGAGGAAUACCGGUGGCGAAGGCGGCCCCCUGGACAAAGACUGACGCUCAGGUGCGAAAGCGUGGGGAGCAAACAGGAUUAGAUACCCUGGUAGUCCACGCCGUAAACGAUGUCUACUUGGAGGUUGUGCCCUUGAGGCGUGGCUUCCGGAGCUAACGCGUUAAGUAGACCGCCUGGGGAGUACGGCCGCAAGGUUAAAACUCAAAUGAAUUGACGGGGGCCCGCACAAGCGGUGGAGCAUGUGGUUUAAUUCGAUGCAACGCGAAGAACCUUACCUGGUCUUGACAUCCACAGAACUUUCCAGAGAUGGAUUGGUGCCUUCGGGAACUGUGAGACAGGUGCUGCAUGGCUGUCGUCAGCUCGUGUUGUGAAAUGUUGGGUUAAGUCCCGCAACGAGCGCAACCCUUAUCCUUUGUUGCCAGCGGUCCGGCCGGGAACUCAAAGGAGACUGCCAGUGAUAAACUGGAGGAAGGUGGGGAUGACGUCAAGUCAUCAUGGCCCUUACGACCAGGGCUACACACGUGCUACAAUGGCGCAUACAAAGAGAAGCGACCUCGCGAGAGCAAGCGGACCUCAUAAAGUGCGUCGUAGUCCGGAUUGGAGUCUGCAACUCGACUCCAUGAAGUCGGAAUCGCUAGUAAUCGUGGAUCAGAAUGCCACGGUGAAUACGUUCCCGGGCCUUGUACACACCGCCCGUCACACCAUGGGAGUGGGUUGCAAAAGAAGUAGGUAGCUUAACCUUCGGGAGGGCGCUUACCACUUUGUGAUUCAUGACUGGGGUGAA